GACAGAGGCCACAAGCGUUAUGCGGAAUCACUGGGCUUAAAGCGCGUGUAGGCGGAUUCCUAAGUGCCUUGUGAAAUCCCACGGCUUAACCGUGGAACUGCUGGGCAUACUGGGUGUCUUGAGGUGUCUAGGGGUCGCUGGAACAAACGGUGGAGCGGUGAAAUGCGUAGAUAUCGUGUGGAACGCCAAAGGUGAAAACAGGUAGCUGGGAGUGUGCUGACGCUGAGACACGAAAGCCAGGGGAGCGAACGGG
rnacentral:rRNA from 1 species